UACGGGGGGAGCAAGCGUUGCUCGGAAUCACUGGGCGUAAAGGGUGCGUAGGCGGGGAGGUAAGUCGGGUGUGAAAUCCCUCGGCCCAACCGAGGAACUGCGCCCGAGACUGCUUCUCUUGAGUCCCGGAGAGGAAGGUGGAAUUCCCGGUGUAGCGGUGAAAUGUGUAGAGAUCGGGAGGAACACCGGUGGCGAAGGCGGCCUUCUGGACGGUGACUGACGCUGAGGCGCGAAAGCGUGGGGAGCGAACAGG
rnacentral:rRNA from 1 species